rnacentral:lncRNA from 1 species
CUUUAGAAAAAUGCGUUUACAUACUGUAAAAGUACACAAAACUAAAAAACAUUAAAAUGCAAUAUUAUUCACAGUCUACUUUAAUCACAUAUAACUUGACUCUUACUCUAAUAUAAUAUUUGUAUAUUCAUGAAGUUAAAUACACUGCCUAUGUUCAUCACAAAACCAAUCACUGGUAACCCCUGCACACGUUUGAUGACUCCAUUUGCUACAUGUAACUCUUCCUCUUUUUGCUUCGCACCCUAUCAUAUUUUCGUAUAAAUCAGGCUUCCCACAUAAGCAAACACAUUCAAUCUUUCUCUGAUGUAUUUUAACAUGAAUGUCAGAAGGAAGGCCUAACAUCUUGGGAAAUUCAAUAAGAGAUCCUUGUUCCAAACAACUUACAAGAUGAGUUCUCAUUGAUUGUUCGUCGUAAUCGAUCUUUAAACGAGGGUUAAAAUUUUGAUUCACACAAAAUUCCAAUAAGUUAGCCAG